UACGGAGGGUGCAAGCGUUAUCCGGAUUCACUGGGUUUAAGGGUGCGUAGGCGGGCAGGUAAGUCAGUGGUGAAAUCUCCGGGCUUAACCCGGAACUGCCGUUGAUACUAUCUGUCUUGAAUAUCGUGGAGGUAAGCGGAAUAUGUCAUGUAGCGGUGAAAUGCUUAGAUAUGACAUAGAACACCGAUUGCGAAGGCAGCUUACUACACGAUCAUUGACGCUGAGGCACGAAAGCGUGGGGAGCAAACAGG
rnacentral:rRNA from 1 species